UUCUUGUGAGAGGAUUAACAGUGGCGGGGACGCCUCUUCUACUAGCACUUUAACGGUUGGACCAAAGCCUCAUUUCUACAGUCCCUUCACCCACCCAUCUGCAGCUUGCUAGGCCAACCUAUAUAUAUGAGCCCUGAACACCAGUAUUAUUUUUAUUGAUGGCUUCAUGUGUCAUAUAAUGAUCAAGGACUAGAUACUUAAACUAAUUUUGUAGAGUCUCCUCCUUCCGUCCCUUUUCUCUCUAUCUCUCUAGCUCUUUU
rnacentral:misc_RNA from 1 species